rnacentral:rRNA from 1 species
GGGGAAUUUUCCGCAAUGGGCGAAAGCCUGACGGAGCAAUACCGCGUGAGGGAGGAAGGCUCUUGGGUUGUAAACCUCUUUUCUCAGGGAAGAUAGUGACGGUACCUGAGGAAUCAGCAUCGGCUAACUCCGUGCCAGCAGCCGCGGUAAUACGGAGGAUGCAAGCGUUAUCCGGAAUUAUUGGGCGUAAAGCGUCUGUAGGUGGACGUUCAAGUCUGCUGUCAAAGACCGGGGCUUAACCCUGGAAAGGCGGUGGAAACUGAAAGUCUAGAGUGCGGUAGGGGUAGAGGGAAUUCCCAGUGUAGCGGUGAAAUGCGUAGAGAUUGGGAAGAACACCGGUGGCGAAAGCGCUCUGCUGGGCCUGCACUGACACUAAGGGACGAAAGCUAGGGGAGCGAAUGGGAUUAGAUACCCCAGUAG